UGUGGUGUAGUGUAACGGUAACAUACCAGUCUCAUGAUCUGGAGAAAUGAGGUUCGAUUCCUCACACCGCCU
rnacentral:tRNA from 1 species